UAAAAAUCCACUAAGCACUGCAUGCACGAGUGCCAAUUGUCACGUUAGAAGUUUCCAAAGUCAGAAGUGGGUGUACAGGUGUCGGCAGAGGAGACGUUCGUCCAAACGGACAUGGAUUGAACAAAACUGGAUUUUCGAAAAACUCUCCCACUCACCUAACCGUAGGAACGCUCCCUACGCUAUGAGCUUCAUUUUGGACCGAAUCACUUCCGAUUCUGUAACCGUGAAGAACAUAAGAAAAACCGUUGAGUGUAGAAAAGCCAUAGUUGGACAAGUCAAAAUCGGACUCUUAGGACGUUGUACUCACUGAUCCGG